AGGGGAGAUCAAGGAAAAUCAUCCCACACCCAUAGUGCAUGCAGCACAUCUGCUGAACCAGCUCUUUGUUACUCUGAAUGUUGGCCAAUAAAAUUAACCCUCAAGCACCCUUGACACUAGGAAGUUUUCACAGUGUGGCAGGAAACAAGGGAAUGUGUCAGGAGAACGUCCUGAGGAAAGAGUUCCAAAGUCAAUGACAGAAGACGUCCUGUCCCAUGUACUCACCCACCUCAUCACUGAAGGGUCUUCCCAGCACUAAGAAAAGUGCAGCACCAUGUGGAGGUCAACACAGUGAGAAAUGGCUCUCACAUUGAAGUCUUUUUGUCCAGGAUGGUAUAAUUUGGCAAGAGCCAAAUUAUUUUGCCAGUCAUCCCAAAUGAGGGAAGCCAGUAGAACUCAUGGAGCAUCUCAUCCAGCUUUUAAAACACAUGUACAAAAACUAUACCAUAGAUCACCUAUAUGGCAGGGCUAGCCCAAAAGUGGAUAUGUUCCAGAAUCCUGUGGACAGACAUCUGGACAGAAAAGCAGCAGCAGCAGCAGCAGCGGUUUGAUCAGCCUAACAUAAGGCCUUUGUGAGUGCUUUGAAUAUCAACUGCAACACGAAUAGGCCGUCCUUGUUCUGACUAAAAGAGCUCAGACGUUCAAUGACUCUGACUUGUGGCCAGGACCAGUAGUUAGUUACAGAAGAACUAUGUGGUCUGCCAUGCAUGGUGAAAAAUGGCAAUUCAUUCAUUUCAUAAAAAUGAAACUUGCUCCAGUAAAAUACCUAUACAAUUUAUGAAACAUGCAGAGUCAAGCUAAGGAACAAGGUGCAGCCUAUCUUGGCCUCUCCAUUGCACACCUCUUCAAACUGUUAUUUUCUACAGCAAGUGGGGGAAAUACUGUUGGAAAUGUUGCUCUUUACAUUAAUCCCUUGUGAAUUUUGCAUCUAAGUUCAGUUUGAUUCAGCCACCAACUUUCUGGACCAAAAUGUGUUCUAAGUCCUCCCAUUGCUGUUCUAUGCCCCAUGUAUAGGCAUAUGGUAUGGUGGUGGUUGACAAACACAGAGUGCAGAGGGCAUUUUCUUCUUCCGUGUGUAACCAUUGCCAUCUCCUACUCUUCUUUGGUUAGUGAAUGGGGAUCUAAGUUAGAGGGUGAGGCUUCCAUACAGGUGUAAGUCCAAAUACCACCUUUAAAAAAUUAACGACACCAUAGUAUUUAAAGCUUUAUUCAUUCAAAUUGCUCUGCAGAAUAGAUCUACUCGAUAGGAUCAAGAGAAAAUUAGGAAAAUUGAAGUUCAAUUUAUGGAUAAUUACAUCAACAUGAAGUUAUGUUACAGGAGGUGUGUGCGCAUGCGAGAACAAUGCUUUUUGAUAAGGAGAGAUUUUAGGGAGAUUUAGUGUUUCUGAUUAAUCCAUUCCCUAAUCCAGGCCAGCUCUCUAAUAAUACCUUAGUUACCGUUUAGUCCAGUCCUAGACUGGGGGUGGGGAAGAUAGUGAACCAGCAAGAGAACAGGACUGCAUUGCCUUGCGGUACUAAAUACUUUCUUCGUUCAGCUAUUAAUGUUGUUAAUUGUAUUCCACUGCCUGAUCUUUCUGUGUUACAGAAAGAUCUUCCUUCUCUGGAUUCUACAGGAAUGAUCUUAUUUUUGUGAACUACCUAGAGUCUUUGGAGUCAGGUGGUAUAUAAAUUGAAUGAAUGAAUGAAUGAAUAAACAAACAAACAAACAAAC